UUCUAAACACGUUAUCAGCCCGUAACUCUACCGAGAGGAGAGAAAAGGCAAAACAACUCCGGCGAGAGUCGCCGGGAAAAGAAGAAAGAAGGGAGGAAAGGAGAAGGUAAGAGGAUGCCUCGUGGUCUCCUAUCCUUCUUCCUCCACCUCGUUCGUGACGGCGGUCGACGUCGACACAGCCGUCGCCGUCGCCAUGGUGUUGGCGGACUUCGCCGCCACAACCGCCACGCCCGCGAUCUUCGCCGGUUCGGAGGCCGCCGGAAUGGUUUCCGCCGCCGUGCACCACAUCUUAGGCAUGGCGCCCGUGGUCGCCACGGUGCUGGGACCUCCGGUGCUUCGCGUGAACCGGCCAUGCCGGCGG
rnacentral:lncRNA from 1 species